GCUAAAUCUAUUAACAUGAAAGUUUAUUAUUAUUACAAUAAUUUUAAGUUUUGCGUGUUUAUUUACAGUGACACAAAACAUAUAGAAGUCUUAUUGCUUCCAAAAGUUGAGAGCAGAAGAGAACGUUGGAUCACAGCAAUUAAAAAAAGAAUAACAAACUUUACUCCUGCUGCAAAUGUAUUUAUAUGUAGCCAGCAUUUUUCGGAAGACUGCUUUCUGCCAUCACCUACUGGCAAGCGUUACUUAGUGCCUAAUGCUGUACCCAGUAUAUUUGAUAUGCGAUUAAGAAAGAAAUAUAAAAUCCAAUUUGAUCAGCAACAAUUAUCUAUAGAAAGCCAUGAUGCUAUUGCCAGUAAUACGAAAUUAAGAGGUUUAGAGAUUGCUACAAAUAUUGAUCAGAGUACAGAUAAUUUGCACAAACCAUAUGUUUCCAUUCUUAAAGUGCAGCAUUUGACUAAAUCUGAAAUUGUAAACAGUACUAAUUUGGAUAAAUCAGCCAAUGACGAAGAAGCAAGGAAAAGUCAAGAACAGCUGCACAAAGAAAAAUGUGAUGUUAUUACAAAUAUUGAUCAUGAAAAAUUGAAUUCUGAAAUAGCAACAAAUAUUGAUGAAAAUCAAGAUAAUUUAGACCAACCAUGUACUUCGACUUUCAAACAACAGCAUCUGACACAGUUCGAUAUUUUGCACAGAAAUAUUGGGAUCACAUCAAGUGACAAAAAAGUAAAUAAUGAAGCAAAAGAAUUAAUACGUGCAAACACAUAUAUUAAAAAAUUGACGAAGAAGUUAAAUGCUUCUCAACAGAAAUAUAAAAGAUUACAAGAACAAGCCACAUCUUUAGCUUUUCUUGUAAGACAGUUGCAAGGUGAAAAAAAUACUACAGAGUCAUUGGAGGAAGACUGUUCAGAUGUAUAAUAUCAGAUCUCCCAAAUUCUCAGCGUUAUGCCCCACACACCAUACAGAUGUAUACUCAAACAAUAAUUAAAUUUAAUCAAGCAGAUUAACAAAUCAAUAAUAGACUAAUUGACUAGGUGAGAAAUAUUGAGAAAAAGAAUGACAAAAUGAGAAAUAAAAGUGAAUAAAAUGUGAAUCAUCUCUUCUUGUCACAAUACAACGUACAGUUUUACAUCGGAACAUAUAAUGACAAUUGGAGUUUUCAGUCAAGUAUUAAGAAGCACACGUUUCAUCAAAUUUUCUAACCUUCUUCUGUGGAAGAAAACAUAUACACUCGGCUUUCCACUCAGAACGAUGUCGGGAAAAUCGAUUAUGAAAAUCGGUACGCACGAUGGUACUUUCCACUGCGAUGAGGUGCUCGCCUGUGCGUUCUUAAAAUUGCUGCCGCAAUAUAAAGAUGCUUCUAUAGUGAGAAUCCAUGGAUAUCGCAUUACAUUUUUAGAUCUCGAGAUCAGAAUAUCUUAGACACCUGUGAUAUUGUAGUGGACGUUGGUGGAGAAUAUGA
rnacentral:misc_RNA from 1 species